UACCAGCUCUCCGAGUAGUGUGGAUGUUUAUUGGGCCUAAAGCAUCCGUAGCUUGCUAAGCAAGUCCCCUGUUAAAUCCACCGAUUCAAUCGGUGGAUUGCGGGGGAUACUGUUUGGCUAGGGGACGGGAGAGGCCGACGGUAUUUCCGGGGUAGGGGUGAAAUCCUAUAAUCCCGGGAAGACCACCAGUGGCGAAGGCUGUCGGCUAGAACGCGCCCGACGGUGAGGGAUGAAAGCUGGGGGAGCGAACCGGAUUAGAUACCCGGGUAGUCCCAGCUGUAAACGAUGCAGGCUAGGUGUUUGGGCGGCCACGAGCCGCUCUAGUGCCGCAGGGAAGCUGCUAAGCCUGCCGCCUGGGGAGUACGGCCGCAAGGCUGAAACUUAAAGGAAUUGGGCGGGGGAGCACCACAAGGGGUGAAGCUUGCGGUUU
rnacentral:rRNA from 1 species